UACGAAGGGGGCUAGCGUUGUUCGGAUUUACUGGGCGUAAAGCGCACGUAGGCGGAUCGUUAAGUGAGGGGUGAAAUCCCAGGGCUCAACCCUGGAACCGCCUUUCAUACUGGCGAUCUUGAGUCCGGAAGAGGUGAGUGGAACUCCUAGUGUAGAGGUGGAAUUCGUAGAUAUUAGGAGGAACACCAGUGGCGAAGGCGGCUCACUGGUCCGGUACUGACGCUGAGGUGCGAAAGCGUGGGGAGCAAACAGG
rnacentral:rRNA from 1 species